CGGGAUGUAGCGCAGCUUGGUAGCGCACACGUCUGGGGGGCGUGGUGUCGCAAGUUCAAAUCUUGUCAUCCCGACCA
rnacentral:tRNA from 5 species